AGUUUGAUCCUGGCUCAGAUUGAACGCUGGCGGCAUGCCUUACACAUGCAAGUCGAACGGUAACAGGUUAAGCUGACGAGUGGCGAACGGGUGAGUAAUAUAUCGGAACGUGCCCAGUCGUGGGGGAUAACUGCUCGAAAGAGCAGCUAAUACCGCAUACGACCUGAGGGUGAAAGCGGGGGAUCGCAAGACCUCGCGCGAUUGGAGCGGCCGAUAUCAGAUUAGCUAGUUGGCGGGGUAAAAGCCCACCAAGGCAACGAUCUGUAGCUGGUCUGAGAGGACGACCAGCCACACUGGGACUGAGACACGGCCCAGACUCCUACGGGAGGCAGCAGUGGGGAAUUUUGGACAAUGGACGCAAGUCUGAUCCAGCCAUGCCGCGUGCGGGAAGAAGGCCUUCGGGUUGUAAACCGCUUUUGUCAGGGAAGAAAAGGUUCUGGUUAAUACCUGGGAUCCAUGACGGUACCUGAAGAAUAAGCACCGGCUAACUACGUGCCAGCAGCCGCGGUAAUACGUAGGGUGCAAGCGUUAAUCGGAAUUACUGGGCGUAAAGCGUGCGCAGGCGGUUAUGCAAGACAGAUGUGAAAUCCCCGGGCUCAACCUGGGAACUGCAUUUGUGACUGCAUAGCUAGAGUACGGUAGAGGGGGAUGGAAUUCCGCGUGUAGCAGUGAAAUGCGUAG
rnacentral:rRNA from 1 species